rnacentral:rRNA from 1 species
GGUGUAGGCGGCUUGGCAAGUCGGGUGUGAAAUCCCAGGGCUCAACCCUGGACGUGCACUCGAAACUGCCGAGCUCGAGUCCUGGAGAGGAAGGUGGAAUGCUUGGUGUAGAGGUGAAAUUCGUAGAUAUCAAGCGGAACACCGGUGGCGAAGGCGGCCUUCUGGACAGUGACUGACGCUGAGACCCGAAAGCGUGGGAGCAAACA